AGAUUUUUUUAUAUGUAAAUACAUUAUUUGUUACAUAAUAAAAACAUAUUUCAUAUCAUAAAACAUAUUUGUGACUCGGCAUGUAUUUAAAAUACUUAACAGUGUUUUCACAAAAAAGAAAUAAAACGAUGUUAAAAAAAUUGUAAAAAAUAUGGUGUUCUGGUUCCGUGGAAAGGAUGGCGUACCUAACUGCGACCAAUGGAGCGUGGUUCCCGAGCCUUUCUUCAAUAAGCACUGAUUUAAGGUUAAGAAUAUCUUUAGAGAAUUAUGUAUAUUAUAAUUAUUUAUAGAUAACUAUA